rnacentral:misc_RNA from 1 species
UUCGGUAUCCUGUGUUGCUUACCUAUCGAAAGGAAUCCGUUGGUUUCGUCGGUCCCUCUCCGCCCCACGCCCUCGCGGGUUGUGGGGUGGACGUCAGGCAAGCCUCGUGUUCCUGGCACGCCUCGCCCAGCUGCGUGGCUGCCUCGGCCCACGGGGCGCAUUGCCCGUGCUCUCGGAUGCGGAACGUCAUGCGCGGGCGUGGGGUCUUUUGGCUCCGUCGGCCCGAGCAACGCAUUUGUCCAUCGACACGAACGACGGUCGCGCCCGUCUUGAGCCCGUCGGGUCUCAUGCGGGCGUCGGCGUCGCGAAGGAAUGCUACCUGGUUGAUCCUGCCAGUAGUCAUAUGCUUGUCUC